GACAGAGGAUGCAAGCGUUAUCCGGAAUGAUUGGGCGUAAAGCGUCUGUAGGUGGCUUUUUAAGUCCGCCGUCAAAUCCCAGGGCUCAACCCUGGACAGGCGGUGGAAACUACCAAGCUGGAGUACGGUAGGGGCAGAGGGAAUUUCCGGUGGAGCGGUGAAAUGCGUAGAGAUUGGAAAGAACACCGAUGGCGAAGGCACUUUACUGGGCUAUUACUAACACUCAGAGACGAAAGCUAGGGGAGCGAAUGG
rnacentral:rRNA from 1 species